rnacentral:rRNA from 1 species
AUUGAACGCUGGCGGCAGGCCUAACACAUGCAAGUCGAGCGGAUGAAGGGAGCCUGCUCCUGGAUUCAGCGGCGGACGGGUGAGUAAUGCCUAGGAAUCUGCCUGGUAGUGGGGGAUAACGUCCGGAAACGGGCGCUAAUACCGCAUACGUCCUGAGGGAGAAAGUGGGGGAUCUUCGGACCUCACGCUAUCAGAUGAGCCUAGGUCGGAUUAGCUAGUUGGUGGGGUAAAGGCCUACCAAGGCGACGAUCCGUAACUGGUCUGAGAGGAUGAUCAGUCACACUGGAACUGAGACACGGUCCAGACUCCUACGGGAGGCAGCAGUGGGGAAUAUUGGACAAUGGGCGAAAGCCUGAUCCAGCCAUGCCGCGUGUGUGAAGAAGGUCUUCGGAUUGUAAAGCACUUUAAGUUGGGAGGAAGGGCAGUAAGUUAAUACCUUGCUGUUUUGUCGUUACCAACAGAAUAAGCACCGGCUAACUUCGUG